GAUGAACGCUGGCGGCGUGCCUAAUACAUGCAAGUCGAGCGAACAGACGAGGAGCUUGCUCCUCUGACGUUAGCGGCGGACGGGUGAGUAACACGUGUAUAACCUACCUAUAAGACUGGGAUAACUUCGGGAAACCGGAUCUAAUACCGGAUAAUAUAUUGAACCGCAUGGUUCAAUAGUGAAAGACGGUUUUGCUGUCACUUAUAGAUGGAUCCGCGCCGCAUUAGCUAGUUGGUAAGGUAACGGCUUACCAAGGCAACGAUGCGUAGCCGACCUGAGAGGGUGAUCGGCCACACUGGAACUGAGACACGGUCCAGACUCCUACGGGAGGCAGCAGUAGGGAAUCUUCCGCAAUGGGCGAAAGCCUGACGGAGCAACGCCGCGUGAGUGAUGAAGGUCUUCGGAUCGUAAAACUCUGUUAUUAGGGAAGAACAAAUGUGUAAGUAACUAUGCACGUCUUGACGGUACCUAAUCAGAAAGCCACGGCUAACUACGUG
rnacentral:rRNA from 1 species